UUAUGGUCAAAUGACGCUGAAAACACCAGUUCUCGUUCGAUCACUGAAGUGAAGCAGUGUCAGGCCCAUUUAGUACUAAAUGAGGGAUCACUUAGGAACACUGAGUACUGUA